CUCGCCUGUCCCGCUGGUGGUGCGCACAGCGGCGGGCUCGGAGAACACCUCCGACCCCGUCCAGUCCCAUCUAUGUCUGAACAUUUCCAUGUCAACCAGACCGCAAUACCGAGUGCCCUGUCCAGUCUUUUCCUAAACACCACCUCCCUGGGCAGCCCGUUCCAAUAUCUGUGAAAAAAUUGGACCUUAUGUCCAGCCUGACCGUCCCUCAGGGCACUUUAAGACUAUUCUCUCUUCCUUUCACUGCCUGGGAGGAGAGCCUGAGCCCACCAGGCUGCAGCCUCCUUUCAGUGGGUUGCAGACAGUGGUUCACCUUGUGUAAUUGUUUGGCUUGUCUGCUGUUCGUGAUGUGCUAAAACUCUGCUUUGGGGGAUUUUUAUGGAAUGUAGAGCUUAUUGCAACAGAAGUGUAAUACAGAAUUCCCUUUACUGUUCAAGACAACAUUUAAUGAUGACAGAAGAUUAAAUGGCCUGUGCAGAAUCCUUUGCCUCUGUGCUGAACUAAAGCUGAUAUUAGGACAUCAAAUCCAACAGAGAGCUUUCAAGUAAGUUACAGAAGGAACACCAAAAGAGAUGAUGACAUGUUUCACACCAUGCCUCAAGAAGUAGAAUGAGGAAAAACUCCUGACACUGACUGACUGCAGCUGAUAAUCGAUGCUGUCACCUCCCUCUCUAGCCUAGAGAGUGACACCAUGAAGACCUGGGGUUUGCUGCAGGAUGCACUGCUGUGUUCUACUUCAGACCUACUCCAUUUCCAAGAGGAAUAAAGCUGUAGCCUUUCUAUUGUACUGAAGAAGGUUAUAAGAAUCAUCAAGCCCACAAAGAAACUCUCAGAUGAAGGGACUGAAAUAAUAGUGUUUGCCUCAGGAAACAAAUGAAAAAUCAUACUGAAUACUUGGCAAAAUUAAAGAAGAAUUAGUCAUCUCUAAGAAUAUCACAGUAUCUAGAGUUCCUAUAUUAAACAGUACCAAGGACUUCAAAACAUUUCCCAGAUUAGACUGUAACUAUUGCAGGUGAAUUUAAAGAAGUCUGAGGUGUCCUAACACCUGCCACAAUCUGAAACAGCAUAUAGGAUUCCACUUGGAUCUGACAGCAAUUCUGCUGUUGCUAUGGAAACAUUCAUAUUCCUUUAAAACCUUAGGAGGUCUGUAUCUCCUUAAGCCACUCUUGUGUAUUUUGUUGGCCUUUACUUCUGCUCCACCAUCUGAAAGAAGAAAAAAUCUGAGAUAUUCCUAACACUUAACCCCCCCAACCAGCAUCACAUAAAUUAAAACCUCCGAUGAAAGGUUAUCCUUGAAAUAAUUCUCCUAGCUUGGCCUGGCUUUCCAGUAGCCAUCCAGUUGGGCCAAAGACAUGAGAAAUAUCCUGACAGACAGGAUCUUACUGGAACAGCUCCAAAGCCUGACAGGCCAUUGCCUGCCUCUCCUCAGUGUAAGCUGUAGAGCCACUAAUUGUACAGGUGUGUAUUUCUGACUUUUAUGCAUUUCAUCCCAAAGCAUCACCCACUAUCGUAGAACUGAAGUAACUGUUCCUCAUUUGGUUUUAUCAAAUGUUACAGCAGACAAGCAGGAAAGACAGAACCAGGCCCAGUAGGCAAAGUAUUUUUUUUAUAAGAUUUGUCUCAUUUGAAGUCUUUCAGAUUUGAGAUCAGUUUCGUACUAAAAAAAAAAAAAAGAAAUUCUGAAAACAAGAAUUUGUUACUACACCUUUAACUAAAAAAACAAGCCACAAAACCCCACAGCAAAAAGUGAAAAAAGACAAUGGAGAUACAGAGUCUUCUAUUUUUUCAGUAAUAGUCUUGCAAUUUCUCAGUUUCCCAGAGAUUCCCUACCAGUUCCACAAGGGAUUCCAUCCCCUUGUUGAAACACAUUCUGCCCACUGCAAGGGUUCCUGAUUAUUUCCCUCAACCUGUAAAGUGAUUGGUAAACAGAAGCUAUUCCAGUCUGUUUCCACGAGUUUAUGUUUAUCAUUUCUCAUGAAGAGUAACUCAUUUAGUCAAAUCUUAUCAUCUGACCUCACAAUGACCAAAUUCAAUGAAAUGAAACAUUUAUUUCCAAAUAAAUAUAAGAAUUGGCAUAUUUGAAUAGUUUUCUACCUGAAGGAAGCAUGCAACACAUGGGAAAAGCUGCAGAAUGAAGACAUGAUACUUUUCACUGUGUCAGAAUAGAAAAGAGAAAAACUUCCAAAAGGAAAAAGCCGCAUCACCUCCAGAUGAGCGCAAGAAAAGAAUAUUCCAGAUAGAAUUCUUUAAAAGGUUAGACCAGAGUAAGUCAUUAUUGCAUGCCAUUUGAUACUGUCAUUUUUAAUUAAAGUCAUUCUAAAAAUACGCAGGGAAAA